CUGAGAUCAGACUUCAAACCACCUCACAAAGUGACAAGUUAAAACGUCCCUCCACUGUGGAUCAGAACAGGUCUCUCCCUGUCUCUGCUGCAAGGAGCUGAAAGGAGAACUAGAAAGACCAGAGUGCAACCUCCCUAAGUCAUGUUCAGCACUGCCUGGCUUAACCAGAGCUGGCCUGGGUUCAUCCAAAAGGAACACUGGGAACUCUUAGUACCAGCUAUGUCUUUUCACAGGAGGUCAAUUUGGUACUCUGCAAUUGAUGCUCUCCCCUUUCUUGGAGACUGUGAUGUGGCAGCAGGACAAGC
rnacentral:lncRNA from 1 species